rnacentral:rRNA from 1 species
CCUACGGGAGGCAGCAGUGGGGAAUAUUGCACAAUGGGGGAAACCCUGAUGCAGCGACGCCGCGUGAGUGAGGACGUAUUUCGGUAUGUAAAGCUCUAUCAGCAGGGAAGAAAAUGACGGUACCUGCCUAAGAAGCCCCGGCUAACUACGUGCCAGCAGCCGCGGUAAUACGUAGGGGGCAAGCGUUAUCCGGAUUUACUGGGUGUAAAGGGAGCGUAGACGGCAAAUCAAGUGAGAAGUGAAAACCCUGGGCUCAACUUUGGGACUGCUUUUGAAACUGAGUAGCUAGAGUGCAGGAGAGGUAAGCGGAAUUCCUAGUGUAGCGGUGAAAUGCGUAGAUAUUAGGAGGAACACCAGUGGCGAAGGCGGCUUACUGGACUGUAACUGACGUUGAGGCUCGAAAGCGUGGGGAGCAAACAGGAUUAGAUACCCUUGUAGUC